AAAAAAAGAAAAAAAAAAGAAAAAAAAAAAGAGGAGUUUCCAACUUAUUUGUUGUUGCUCUUCUUUCUUCGUUGAAGUCACCAAGCGUUUACUGUUUCAGACCAAACCCUAGCAAGGCCUAAGUAGAAGAUCCCAAGGGACCACUCUCCGUCUCCAAUCCUUGAAGGCCUUCUCCUUUUAUCCAUUCCCUCAAAUUCGCUCUCAAUUUCGUUCUUCGCAUCUUAAAUUAGGGAUUUUUCCUUUUCGGUUUCUUAAUUUUCUUUGCAUUUUCAGUUCGAAAUCUUUAUUCGCCAUCGCCAUGGAUGCUCAGAGAGCUCUGCUGGACGAACUCAUGGGUGCAGCUCGGAAUUUGACGGAGGAAGAGAGAAAAGGUUACAGAGAAGUUAGUUGGGAUGAUAAGGAGGUUUGUGGAGCCUAUAUGGUUCGAUUUUGUCCCCAUGAUCUCUUUGUCAACACCCGGAGUGACUUAGGACCAUGCCCCAGAAUACACGAUCAGAAGUUGAAAGAAAGUUUCGAGAAGUCCCCGAGGCAUGAUGCAUAUGUACCCAAAUUUGAAGCUGAACUUGCUCAGUUUUGUGAGAAAUUGGUGAUGGAUUUGGACAGACGAGUACGGCGUGGACGAGAACGACUUGCUCAAGAGGUGGAACCUGCACCUCCACCUCCCUUGUCAUCUGAAAAGUCUGAACAGUUAUCUGUACUGGAGGAAAAGAUUAAGAACUUGCUAGAACAAGUGGAAGCUCUUGGUGAAGCUGGGAAGGUGGACGAAGCUGAAGCAUUGAUGAGAAAGGUUGAUGCGCUUAAUGCUGAGAAGACAACCUUGACACAACAGCCCCAGCCUGAUAAAGUAUUGAUGCUUGCACAGGAGAAGAAGAUGGCCCUCUGUGAGAUUUGUGGUUCUUUUCUUGUAGCCAAUGAUGCUGCAGAGAGGACCCAGUCUCAUAUUACUGGGAAGCAGCAUAUUGGAUAUGGCAUGGUUCGCGAUUUCAUUACUGAGUACAAGGAAGCUAAGGAGAAAGCGAGGGAAGAAGAAAGAUUAGCUAGGGAAAAAGAAGCAGAAGAGCGAAAGAAGCAGAGGGAGAAGGAGCCAGAGAGUAGAAGGAAAAGAAGUGAUUCAGGUGAUAGAGACAGGCAUCAUGAUCGAGAGCGAGACAGAUACCGAGAUCGGGACUCAGAUCGUGAAAGGCAUCGAGAUUGGAAUGGUAGAAGUAGUCGGGAUGGAGGAAGAGGGGUGGAUUGGAGAUACAGAAAUGGAAGAGAUGGAGCUAGGGACAGGCACAGGGACCGGAGCAGGUCACGCUCCCCUGUUAGGCAUGGACACAGGAGGUCAUCUAGAAGUCCAGUUCACCCAUAUUAGUGAAAUGUAGAUAGAUGUCUGAGCUUUGAAAUUUAAUGAGCUUUCUUGACAAUAUAUCAUCUCCCUUUCGUCAAUAUUGUUAAAGGAGAAAAGGGUUGAGAGUCCAGGGCCCCAUAUUCUUGGGGGGUUCAAUGUUGGCUACCUUUUUUGCCCUCAUAUUGUAUACAUCCGACUUCAUAUGUAUGAAACUAUGAAUGCAUGAGACAACGGCUGGAGAGGUAGUGUUUUCAUUUUGUGAGGUAACAUGUAAAUCUCAUCUUUGCUUGAUAUUCUUGCAUCAGGGAUCCAAAUUCAGUCCAAGGGGGGGAAAAAAAAAACUAAGUAGUCUCUUGUUUUUUCAAUAUUAACCUAUGAAUAAUGCUAGGGGAUCUAGAGUCUACUACCAAACUAUGAGUACUAAAUGAUGUAGCAAGUAACAACUCAUUUGGCACAUCACUUAAGUAAAGUUUGGGAGACGACUUGGGAUCUGUAGCAUUACUUUCAACUUAAUUGUUGCAAACGCUUUGGUAAAUUGGCAUGGCAUUUUAUCCAUCUUUUUUUUUUUUGGCCGAUGAUGAGGAUCUAUGGCAUUUCAUCAGUAUGUGGAAUUUAAUCCAAGGGAACGGGCUAGGCGUUAUAAUGCUCACAAAUUGGCAAUACGAAAAGGUAAAAUGCACAAGAAGUGGGAUACGGUCAGGCUGUAGAGGUAAAUUUUGGAGUUGAAAAUUUGAAAUUCAGGACGAUCCAUGCAAAUGCAGGUUAUUAUUUGAUUCCAUUUAAGAGUGACUUUAAAACAGAAAUGUCACUUCUGCGGGCAAGAAAUUCUGGUGGUCUGGAACUUGGAUGAUGCACUUUCGCAAUGUGUUCUGCGUUGUACAUGCAAUUCUUGGUGCUGGAGGUAAUCAUUUAAAUCAUAAACUGCAACAUAGUGCAACUUUCAAGUUUGAAGCAAAGGUAGUAAAUUCUGAAUGAAACCUGAUGGUUAGAUUUAGGUGGUUAAGAAUGUUACAGAGUCUCGUACUAAGGAAUCGUUUGUGCAGGGAAACAAUUACUAAUCAGCUUCCACAACUGUAUGGAAAUUGGGAAACAAAAUGCAACUGAAAUUGGCUUGGACGAUACAUGUAAUUUUGUUAUUAAUAGGUGCAGAACAUUUCGCAUUUUCGUAUUACAAGGUUUUCUUCUUUUUUUCUUUUUUUUUUUUUUUUUUUU